UCCCUUUGGCAGCACCGGAGCAAAGGGAUUCCUCCCUCCUGGGGAGCCCAGGCAUUGCUGACACAGCUCCAAGAAGGAAGAGAAGACAAAGGGCAGCAAAACCUGCUGGGACAGGGCCUAAGGUGGCAGCUUAUGAGGCAGAACAACCACCUGAAGAAAAACCUGACCUGGCCUCACAGAAGACAUCCGGCCAGCAUUCUGUGGAUUGGAACCUGGAAACACUGAAGAACACUUGUGAGCCAGAGGACCUCUUCGACGACAUGUAGCCACAUGUGGGCUGUGGGACAGAGACUGAUGCUUCUACUAGAGAUAAGCUGUAAAACCAAAGGCUUUUUUUGUAGAGUAGAGCCAAGAUCUGUGCUCUGAGGUGGUUUAGAGUGGCACACCCCUCUAAACCCUCUUGCACUGCACUUGUCCCCAUUCCUCACUAUGAGUUUGUAGACCCUGAUAGACCUGAUUUGUAGUGGUCUUAAAAAUGAGUUUAUCCCUUGUGUAGACCUUUUAUCAAGUGUACAUGGGAAGCGAGAGCACCACUGAAGUGGUUUUUACAUCCUCACAGUCAGUGACUGCUGACUGUAUUCAGGUUUUCCAGAUGUCCCCAGAGAAUGUCCGGCAUAAGACUUUAAGCUACUGCUGUACUUAACCUUACAUGCCACGCCUUUCUUAGCUCAGCCUAAACAUGAUCCAGAUAAAUCAUCUUCAGCUUUGUUCGAGAUGCAGAUUUAGAAUAGUCUCUUCUGAUUCAAAGCAUCCAAAGAAAUACCUUUUUAUUCAAAGGUUCUCUGCAGCAUUAAUGCCUUAUAAGGUUUUCUUGCUCUUGGAAGUAAAGUGCUUCUAAAGUAGAUAUUGAUUCUAUUUUAAGCUUCCGUAGAAAAUUAUAGCAUUUAAAAAGAUUGUCAUUUUUGAUACUUCAACAUUUUCCUUAAGGUGGUUUCUAAAAAUAAAUAAAUAAAAUACAUUCUAAAAGGACAUCAAUUUUGUUCUUAUUUGCUUAGACACUAUGAGUAAAGACAGAGUUAACAAAAUGUGUUAAUGCAUGAAGGCAUUCUUUAAAGUCUUCUAUGCUCUGUGGCUUGCAAAGGUCCGUGGUAAAACACCUACUUGGUGUUUCUGAAAUGGCCACUUAUUUAGGCUCUGAUUCUGCCAAAAUUCCAUCCUAUAAUUUCUUAAAAGCACCCAUGUCAGUAUUUGCAGCAUCAUGCACUCUUAUAGGAACACAAGGGUCUGGGAAUAUUACAUUUAAGCAUUCCUCCCUGGAAAAAUGGUCACAGCAUUUUAAAUUCACAAAGGGCUUUGGGACAGUGUUAUAAAUCACACAGUAAAAAUAAGAAUGGCUAAAAUAUUUUGCUUGCUAAAAAGGCUUUGUGCCUGAGAAGUAGCAAGGCCACAAAAGCCCUAUUCAUACACCCAUUCAAAGUCUUCCAGUGCUAAUCUGACAGUGCUUUCAGCAAAAGCUCGUGUAUGGUUCUAGUUUUGGAGUGAAUAUGUUCCAUGACUUAACCCAAAGUGGAAGAGCUUGGUUUAAUUGUGCCUGCAGCAGAAAAUGAAGGUAAAUGAAGCUGAACAUCUGAGAAAACUCUGCUUUCAGGACGCUGUUGGUUUCUAGUGGCAAAAUGUUGUUGUACAAAUAGGAAAUGUUACACGCCAUGGGCAGAUGUAAUAAAGUCUGUCAGAGUGUUUA